AAAGGAAUUGACGGGGGCCCGCACAAGCGGAGGAACAUGUGGUUUAAUUCGAUGAUACGCGAGGAACCUUACCCGGGCUUGAAAUGCAUCUGACCGACCGCGAAAACGGUUUUCUCUUCGGAGCAGAUGUGUAGGUGCUGCAUGGUUGUCGUCAGCUCGUGCCGUGAGGUGUCGGCUUAAGUGCCAUAACGAGCGCAACCCUCAUUGUUAGUUACUAACAGGUCAUGCUGAGGACUCUAACAAGACUGCCAUCGUAAGAUGCGAGGAAGGUGGGGAUGACGUCAAAUCAGCACGGCCCUUACGUCCGGGGCGACACACGUGUUACAAUGGGUGGUACAAAGGGCAGCUACACAGCGAUGUGAUGCCAAUCUCCAAAACCACUCUCAGUUCGGAUCGAAGUCUGCAACUCGACUUCGUGAAGCUGGAUUCGCUAGUAAUCGCGCAUCAGCCACGGCGCGGUGAAUACGUUCCCGGGCCUUGUACACACCGCCCGU
rnacentral:rRNA from 1 species